AUUGAACGCUGGCGGCAGGCUUAACACAUGCAAGUCGAGCGGAGAGAGGUAGCUUGCCACUGAUCUUAGCGGCGGACGGGUGAGUAAUGCUUAGGAAUCUGCCUAUUAGUGGGGGACAACAUUUCGAAAGGAAUGCUAAUACCGCAUACGUCCUACGGGAGAAAGCAGGGGAUCUUCGGACCUUGCGCUAAUAGAUGAGCCUAAGUCGGAUUAGCUAGUUGGUGGGGUAAAGGCCUACCAAGGCGACGAUCUGUAGCGGGUCUGAGAGGAUGAUCCGCCACACUGGGACUGAGACACGGCCCAGACUCCUACGGGAGGCAGCAGUGGGGAAUAUUGGACAAUGGGCGCAAGCCUGAUCCAGCCAUGCCGCGUGUGUGAAGAAGGCCUUAUGGUUGUAAAGCACUUUAAGCGAGGAGGAGGCUACUUUAGUUAAUACCUAGAGAUAGUGGACGUUACUCGCAGAAUAAGCACCGGCUAACUCUGUGCCAGCAGCCGCGGUAAUAC
rnacentral:rRNA from 1 species